rnacentral:lncRNA from 1 species
UGUCUCUCCCCAGAACGCUGGGAGGGGGGCCGGCGUCCCCGGGAUGACUAUCGCAGGAGGAGUCCUCCCCCUCGGCGCAGAUCACCACGAAGGAGAAGCUUCUCCCGGAGCCGCAGCAGGUCCCUCUCCAGAGACAGAAGAAGAGAGAGAUCGCUCUCACGGGAGAGGAACCACAAGCCUUCUCGCUCCUUUUCCAGGUCUCGCAGUCGCUCCAGGUCAAAUGAGAGGAAAUAGGACUGUGGGAAGGAGCUGUGUACAGGAAGUCAGGAGAUCCGAGGCCAGGAGUAUGUACAGAACAUUGUUUUGUUUCGAAACUUCAUAAAGCUUGGUGCAUUUUUAAAAUGUUUUAGCUGUUGAACUUGCUUUGUUCCUUGUAUCUUGUAACAGGUGGCAAAUGUAAAGAUGUGAAUCUGUAUAUGGUUCUGAGCAGAUCCUAUGAUUUGUAUUAUUAAUGGUUUUCCAAUGUACCAUCAGACAUGGUUUGUGUGUGUGUGGAAUGGUAAAUGGUCUGUGUCCGUAGCUGGGGGGGUUUGCUGGGGCUCAGCUCUCAAGGGAGUGUGCUGGGAUGGUGUGUUCCUUGUGGAAUUGUGGCCUGGAGCAGAGCAGGAUGUGGGUGCUCCAUAGCCCAGUUGCAGGGAAGAGUCAGAGCAGCGAGCCAGUGGCACGGGGAGGGAAGGGCUGGGCUGCAGUUUCAUCCAGCUCCAGUUCUGACUGCAUUACUUGGAACUGAGCUGCUUUAUAUUCCAUGAAUUACAAAUUUUUAGCUGUAGGAUCAGUUAAUUUUGUACUUGGUGUGAGUAGAGUCCUUAAUUAGCCGGUUGUUGAUUGACCAUCUAUUCCAGAACCUCUGAAUAGACCAAAUCCACAAGCAGAACUGACACCUGGAGUGGAUGUGUUAAGUGUCUAAUGGUACAUUGUAAACUUUAGGAGUAAAACAUUUCUUUACUGUACAAGACUUUUCAUGUCACUUGUAAAAUGUCUUUUGUGAGAUCCUUGGGAUUAAAGUUUUGGUUACAACUCGUUGUUCGGUAUUUAACUCGUACCUGACUGACAGUCACCACACCUGGCUGUAUAUAGC